GAUGAAGAACGCAGCGAAAUGCGAUACGUAAUGUGAAUUGCAAAUUCAGUGAAUCAUCGAGUCUUUGAACGCACAUUGCGCCCCCUGGUAUUCCGGGGGGCAUGCCUGUCCGAGCGUCAUUGCUGCCCUCAAGCACGGCUUGUGUGUUGGGCCCCGUCCUCCGAUCCCGGGGGACGGGCCCGAAAGGCAGCGGCGGCACCGCGUCCGGUCCUCGAGCGUAUGGGGCUUUGUCACCCGCUCUGUAGGCCCGGCCGGCGCUUGCCGAUCAACCCGAAUUUUUAUCCAGGUUGACCUCGGAUCAGGUAGGGAUACCCGCUGAACUUAAGCAUAUCAAUAAGCGGAGGA
rnacentral:misc_RNA from 1 species